ACGAACGCUGGCGGCGUGCUUAACACCUGCAAGUCGAACGGUGAAGCGAGUGCUUGCACUCGUGGAUCAGUGGCGAACGGGUGAGUAACACGUGAGUAACCUGCCCAUCACUCUGGGAUAAGCACUGGAAACGGUGUCUAAUACUGGAUACGACCAACCCUUGCAUGGGGUGUUGGUGGAAAGAUUUAUCGGUGAUGGAUGGACUCGCGGCCUAUCAGCUUGUUGGCGGGGUAAUGGCCCACCAAGGCGACGACGGGUAGCCGGCCUGAGAGGGUGACCGGCCACACUGGGACUGGGACAGGGGCAAUACUCCUACGGGAGGCAGCAGUGGGGAAUAUUGCACGAUGGGCAGAAGCCUGAUGCAGCGACGCCGCGUGGGGGAUGACGGCCUUCGGGUUGUAAACCUCGUUCAGCAGGGAAGAAGCGAAAGUGACGGUACCUGCAGAAGAAGCACCGGCUAACUACGUG
rnacentral:rRNA from 1 species